rnacentral:rRNA from 1 species
CCCUUAGAUGUUCUGGGCCGCACGCGCGCUACACUGACGAAUGCAACGAGCUUAUAACCUUGGCCGAAAGGUCUGGGUAAUCUCCAAAUUUCGUCGUGAUGGGGAUAGAUUAUUGCAAUUAUCAAUCUUCAACGAGGAAUGCCUAGUAAGCGCAAGUCAUCAGCUUGCGUUGAUUACGUCCCUGCCCUUUGUACACACCGCCCGUCGCUCCUACCGAUUGAAUGGUCCGGUGAAGCGUUCGGACCGUGGCCUUUGGACGGUUCGCCGUCUGUUGGCUGCGGGAAGUUCGUUAAACCUUAUCAUUUAGAGGAAGGAGAANUCGUANCA